CGGAGGGUGCAAGCGUUGUCCGGAUUUAUUGGGCGUAAAGAGCGUGUAGGCGGCCAGGUAGGUCUGGUGUGAAAACUCGAGGCUUAACCUCGAGAUGUCAUCGGAAACCAUUUGGCUAGAGUCCGGAAGAGGAAAGUGGAAUUCCUGGUGUAGCGGUGAAAUGCGCAGAUAUCAGGAAGAACACCAAUGGCGAAAGCAGCUUUCUGGGACGGUACUGACGCUGAGACGCGAAAGCGUGGGGAGCGAACAGGAUUAGAUACCCUGGUAGUCCACGCCGUAAACGAUGGGCGCUAGGUGUGGGCGGUGUCGACUCCGUCCGUGCCGAAGCUAACGCAUUAAGCGCCCCGCCUGGGGAGUACGGCCGCAAGGCUA
rnacentral:rRNA from 1 species